UACGUAGGGUGCAAGCGUUGUCCGGAAUUAUUGGGCGUAAAGAGCUCGUAGGCGGUUUGUUGCGUCGGCUGUGAAAUCCCCGAGGCUCAACCUCGGGUCUGCAGUCGAUACGAGCAAACUAGAGUGUUGCAGGGGAGACUGGAAUUCCUGGUGUAGCGGUGAAAUGCGCAGACUAUCAGGAGGAACACCGGUGGCGAAGGCGGGGUCUCUGGGCCGAUACUGACGCUGGAGGAGCGAAAGCGUGGGGAGCGAACAGG
rnacentral:rRNA from 1 species